rnacentral:rRNA from 1 species
GAUGAACGCUGGCGGCGUGCCUAAUACAUGCCAGUCGAGCGAACGGACGAGAAGCUUGCUUCUCUGAUGUUAGCGGCGGACGGGUGAGUAACACGUGGAUAACCUACCUAUAAGACUGGGAUAACUUCGGGAAACCGGAGCUGAUACCGGAUAAUAUUUUGAACCGCAUGGUUCAAAAGUGAAAGACGGUCUUGCUGUCACUUAUAGAUGGAUCCGCGCUGCAUUAGCUAGUUGGUAAGGUAACGGCUUACCAAGGCAACGAUGCAUAGCCGACCUGAGAGGGUGAUCGGCCACACUGGAACUGAGACACGGUCCAGACUCCUACGGGAGGCAGCAGUAGGGAAUCUUCCGCAAUGGGCGAAAGCCUGACGGAGCAACGCCGCGUGAGUGAUGAAGGUCUUCGGAUCGUAAAACUCUGUUAUUAGGGAAGAACAUAUGUGUAAGUAACUGUGCACAUCUUGACGGUACCUAAUCAGAAAGCCACGGCUAACUACGUG